GAACCUGCGUUAGCAAACCAGUGGCAUGUCUGCUGUUGUAAUGGUAUCUGAGAUGCUUUGCAGUGGUGUCAUGCAGCUUCACAGAACUGGAGUUUCUUGCAAAACUAAACCAGGAUCACCUAUAUUGAAUUCAAGAGUGAGGUCCAGUGAUCAUAGCUGACUCAUCAGGAAACUUUCACAUCUAUUGGAGAAAGCUCUGCUCUUCAGUUACGGACGAUUGAAAUGUUCUGGUUUGGUUGGAAGACUGAACUAGCUUGCCAGAGGGAAUUCAUAGGAAACCAGAACAUUUUCCCAAAGAGAAGAAUCCCGUAUGAUAAAGGAUUCAAAAAACAUAAUCCAUUUGACCGGCAGUAUUUUAAAUGAGGAGGAAAGGAGCUGCUUUCUGAGCCUUCUCUACAUCACUGUAAAU